AUGAGAAGGCGAGGGAGGACAAGGAACAGUAUCAAGCGGCAGAAUGAGGCGAGUAUUACAACAUCUCACUCUCAUAACAACAAUGGGCAUAGAUCAUUGCGAGUCGAUAAUCGUCAAUUGACGUAUAGUGAAUUAGAAGCCAUCACAAAUGGCUUCCAACGAGUAAUUGGCCAAGGAGGGUUUGGGAAAGUCUAUCAUGGUUUGUUGGAGGAUGGCACACAAGUGGCUGUGAAACUGCGUUCUAAUUCGUCAGAUCAAGGUGAACAAGAAUUCUUGGCAGAGGCUCAAACCUUGGCUAAAAUUCAUCACAAGAAUCUUGUAUCUUUAAUUGGCUACUGCAAAAAUAGGGAAUACAUGGCUCUUGUCUACGAGUACAUGUCUCAAGGAGCUCUAGACGAACAUCUUAAAGGGAAAGAUAACAACCCAAGAACUUUGACAUGGAGAGAGAGACUCUGUAUAGCUCUAGAAUCCGCAAAAGGGCUUGAGUAUCUACACAAGGGGUGCAACCCACCCCUCAUUCACAGGGAUGUGAAGACGUCCAAUAUCCUGCUAAAUGCACAGCUAGAGGCUAAGAUUGCAGAUUUUGGCUUGCUCAAGGCUUUCCAUAGCAAAGGUGAUACACAUGUUUCCACUGCAAGGGUGGUUGGCACACUAGGUUACCUUGACCCUGAGUACCAUGCUACAUACCAGUUGACCAACAAGAGUGAUGUCUUUAGCUUUGGCGUAGUGCUACUAGAGAUAGUCACAGGGCAACGACACAUCCUGAAGGACCCUGAGCCAAUAAGCAUUGUUCAGUCGGUGAGGCAACGCUUCGGAUGUGGCAACAUCGAGGGCAUAGUGGAUUCACGCAUGUGUGGCGACCACGAUGUCAAUGGCGUGUGGAAAAUUGCGGACACUGCACUCAAAUGCACUGCCCGGAACCCUUUACAGCGGCCAACUAUGACUGACGUGGUAGCGGUGCUACAAGAGUGCCUUGAACUUGAGGUUGCACAUGACGAUGUUAAUGGAGGGUUUUACUCAGUCAGGAGCGGUGGCAACAUGUUGCUAUGGUCAGUACGACACUGGCUCAUCUACUAA
rnacentral:rRNA from 1 species